rfam:Triticum aestivum genome assembly, contig: Triticum_aestivum_CS42_TGACv1_scaffold_288467_4AL
GAUAUACUUCCUCCGUCCGAAAAAGCUUGUCCUUCAAAUGGAUGUAUCUAACAUCAAGUUAGUGUUAAAUACAUUCAUUUGAAAAAUAAGCUUGGGACAAGCUUUUCCGGACGGAGGGAGUAUUAC